UGGCGGACGGGUGAGUAAUGUCUGGGAAACUGCCUGAUGGAGGGGGAUAACUACUGGAAACGGUAGCUAAUACCGCAUAACGUCGCAAGACCAAAGAGGGGGACCUUCGGGCCUCUUGCCAUCAGGUGUGCCCAGAUGGGAUUAGCUAGUAGGUGGGGUAACGGCUCACCUAGGCGACGAUCCCUAGCUGGUCUGAGAGGAUGACCAGCCACACUGGAACUGAGACACGGUCCAGACUCCUACGGGAGGCAGCAUG
rnacentral:rRNA from 1 species